rnacentral:rRNA from 1 species
UACGUAGGGUGCGAGCGUUAAUCGGAAUUACUGGGCGUAAAGCGUGCGCAGGCGGCGCGUUAAGACAGGUGUGAAAGCCCCGAGCUUAACUUGGGAAUUGCGCUUGUGACUGGCGUGCUGGAGUGCGGUAGAGGAGAGUGGAAUUCCCGGUGUAGCAGUGAAAUGCGUAGAGAUCGGGAGGAACAUCAGUUGCGAAGGCGGCUCUCUGGACCAGCACUGACACUGAGGCACGAAAGCGUGGGGAGCAAACAGG